AACUGAAUAGAUAUUUAAGGUGGUACCUAACACUACAGGGAGAUAACUCUGUAAAGUCAGCUUAACGUUUUAAUUACGUUGUGUUGUAAAGGGAAUAUUAAGCUUCUCAAUGAUCAAAAUUGGUGUUUGUCAAACUGCUAUAUAACCAGUGUAAUUUUUCUGACAAAACGGUUGGUUAAAAAUUUUUGAAAUUUUUAUAUUUUUGUUGAAGGGUCAAAGUAAAUACUUUGACAAAAUUUUAUGAAAAUUAAACGAGCCAA
rnacentral:lncRNA from 1 species